rnacentral:misc_RNA from 1 species
GAUGAAGAACGCAGCGAAAUGCGAUACGUAAUGUGAAUUGCAAAUUCAGUGAAUCAUCGAGUCUUUGAACGCACAUUGCGCCCCCUGGUAUUUCGGGGGGCAUGCCUGUCCGAGCGUCAUUGCUGCCCUCAAGCACGGCUUGUGUGUUGGGCCCCGUCCUCCGAUCCCGGGGGACGGGCCCGAAAGGCAGCGGCGGCACCGCGUCCGGUCCUCGAGCGUAUGGGGCUUUGUCACCCGCUCUGUAGGCCCGGCCGGCGCUUGCCGAUCAACCCAAAUUUUUAUCCAGGUUGACCUCGGAUCAGGUAGGGAUACCCGCUGAACUUAAGCAUAUCAAUAAGCGGAGGA